rnacentral:lncRNA from 1 species
UUUCAGACAUAUACAUGGACUCUCCAAAACUUGGAAACUGGUUUCCUAGUCACAGGCUUACUAGAGGAAAGAUGAUGCCCGUUGUCUUGCCUUUUAAUCUCCAGAAUUGUGAAGGAAACAAGCCUCUUUAUAGAGGUCUCCAAGCCACCAUGGACCCCAUUGUUCCAUCAUGAGCAGUGCUUAUUUUCAUGAAACACAACCUGACCUAUCACCCAAAUUUUAC